UGCUCAAUUAAAACGUCCUCGGAAGGAAGGAAUUACUGCCAAUUCCAAGCUGGGAAGUUCUGCAUUCUGAGGCUCAUUCGACAGACAUGUGAUAGAUGGGACCUCGGGGGCACUGGGAGGGGCAGUGACUUGUCCAAGGCCAUGAACCGGGGUGCUACCCCAGGCGGCAGAAGCCCCAUCACCCCCACCGGAUGCCCGCCCCUCCGGGAACCCCACCAGCGGGCGGAGACGCUCUGGGAGUCCCUGGGGCUCCUUCCGCUGCCUGAGAAUUGCUCUCUGCCAAUUCUUGGUCAUCCAGGCUUCCUUCUCCCCCUACUUUUCCCAAAAGCUGAAGAGCAAGCAGCUCAGACAGCUGUGGAGCUGGGACUCUUCUCUAGUUGAAAUGCAUUAAUUUGUAAAUAUCUUCAUUUAUAUGCAAAUGCGGAGUCCCCGCGCCCCUCCGCCAGCCCUAAUGGGGCCCUGCAGCCUGGAGACGCAGCCUCCUUCGGCGGCUGCUCCGGCUGCUCCGGGCUGCCGGCAGCUCUCCGUGAUCCGAUUAGACUCUUUCCUUUCCUUCUGCUUUCGCUUCCCCCAGGCUCCUCGGUGCGCUCCACCUGGGAGGCCACCGCCGGAACCGAGGCUGGGGAAGGAAAGAACACUGGCCACGAGUCAGCACUGCUGUGCGACCUCGGGCAAAAGUCACCUCCCUCUCUGGGCUUCCGUUUCCGUCAGGCGUGAAAUGGGCAGGGCAGCAAGAGACUGGGGAAACUCAGGCAGAGUCCCCAAGCCCGAGUGACACUAACGCAAGGUGGGCGGAGGGGCAAGGAUUGGAAACUCAGGCCGCGGGACAGAACUCUCCCUUAAACCCCACAAGGAUUGUACGAAGCAGAUCCUACGAAGUCUGUUGACAGGGCACGUCCCUCUAGGCACCGGGUUCCCUUCUGCAGCACAGCCCCCAGCCCUGCCUUCCAAGCCCAUGGAAGGUGACCCAGAGAACCGGCAAGAGCAUCGCAGGGCAGACAGGAAAGGGCUGGGGAAGUGGCUCCCAGCCCCCGGCCCCCAGCCCCCGGCCUCGACCACUAGUCCCUGGCUCCUGGCCCCCAGCUCC